rnacentral:rRNA from 1 species
UUUAGUGUUAAAUUUUAAUAAUUGAGUAGUAAUAGAGAGCUUGAAACUUAAAGAGUUUGGCGGUAUUUAAGUCUUUUUAGAGGAACCUGUAGCAUAAUCGAUAGUCCACGAGAGAUCUAACCUAAAGAAUAAGUAUGUAUAUCGUUGUCCUCAGAAUAAUUUUGAAGAAUAUUUUCUAAAAAUUUUUUAUUAUUAUGUCAAAUCAAGGUGCAGCUAUAUUUAGGGGCAAUUGGGUUACAAUAUUUAGUGUAAUACGGAUUAUUUAUUGAAAUAAGUAUGAAGGUGGAUUUAAUUGUAAUUUAUUUUUAAUAAGAAUUUCUGAAAUAGUACUGAAAUAUGC